rnacentral:rRNA from 1 species
UACGGAGGGUGCGAACGUUAAUCGGAAUUACUGGGCGUAAAGCGUGCGCAGGCGGUGAUGUAAGACAGGUGUGAAAUCCCCGGGCUUAACCUGGGAACUGCAUUUGUGACUGCAUCGCUGGAGUGCGGCAGAGGGGGAUGGAAUUCCGCGUGUAGCAGUGAAAUGCGUAGAUAUCGGGAGGAACACCAGUGGCGAAGGCGAUCUUCUGGACGGAUACUGACGCUGAGGCGCGAAAGCUAGGGGAGCAAACGGG